rnacentral:rRNA from 1 species
UACGGAGGGAGCUAGCGUUGUUCGGAUUUACUGGGCGUAAAGCGCACGUAGGCGGCAUAGUAAGUCAGGGGUGAAAUCCCGGAGCUCAACUCCGGAACUGCCCUUGAAACUGCUAAGCUAGAAUCUUGGAGAGGCGAGUGGAAUUCCGAGUGUAGAGGUGAAAUUCGUAGAUAUUCGGAAGAACACCAGUGGCGAAGGCGACUCGCUGGACAAGUAUUGACGCUGAGGUGCGAAAGCGUGGGGAGCAAACAGG